AAUGAACGCUGGCGGCAUGCCUUACACAUGCAAGUCGAACGGCAGCAUGACCUAGCUUGCUAGGUUGAUGGCGAGUGGCGAACGGGUGAGUAAUGCAUCGGAACGUGCCUUUUAGUGGGGGAUAACGUAGCGAAAGUUACGCUAAUACCGCAUAUUCUCUGAGGAGGAAAGCAGGGGACCUUCGGGCCUUGCGCUAGAAGAGCGGCCGAUGUCGGAUUAGCUAGUUGGUGAGGUAAAGGCUCACCAAGGCAACGAUCCGUAGCGGGUCUGAGAGGAUGAUACGCCACACGGGGACUGAGACGCCGCCCAGACUCCUGAGGGAGGCAGCAGUGGGGAAUGUUGGACAAUGGGCGCAAGCCUGAUCCAGCCAUGCCGCGUGAGUGAAGAAGGCCUUCGGGUUGUAAAGCUCGUUCGGCUGGGAAGAAAUCGCACCCUCUAAGACAGGGUGUGGAUGACGGUACCAGCAUAAGAAGCACCGGCUAACUACGUG
rnacentral:rRNA from 1 species